AUUGAACGCUGGCGGCAUGCCUUACACAUGCAAGUCGAACGGCAGCACGGGUGCUUGCCCCUGGUGGCGAGUGGCGAACGGGUGAGUAAUACAUCGGAACAUGUCCUGUAGUGGGGGAUAGCCCGGCGAAAGCCGGAUUAAUACCGCAUACGAUCUACGGAUGAAAGCGGGGGCCCUUCGGGCCUCGCGCUAUAGGGUUGGCCGAUGGCUGAUUAGCUAGUUGGUGGGGUAAAGGCCUACCAAGGCGACGAUCAGUAGCUGGUCUGAGAGGACGACCAGCCACACUGGGACUGAGACACGGCCCAGACUCCUACGGGAGGCAGCAGUGGGGAAUUUUGGACAAAGGGCGAAAGCCUGAUCCAGCAAUGCCGCGUGUGUGAAGAAGGCCUUCGGGUUGUAAAGCACUUUUGUCCGGAAAGAAAUCCUUGGCCCUAAUACGGUCGGGGGAUGACGGUACCGGAAGAAUAAGCACCGGCUAACUACGUG
rnacentral:rRNA from 1 species